AACGAACGCUGGCGGCAUGCCUAACACAUGCAAGUCGAACGAGCCCUUCGGGGUUAGUGGCGCACGGGUGCGUAACGCGUGGGAAUCUGCCCUUGGGUUCGGAAUAACAGUGAGAAAUUACUGCUAAUACCGGAUGAUGUCUUCGGACCAAAGAUUUAUCGCCCAAGGAUGAGCCCGCGUAGGAUUAGCUAGUUGGUGGGGUAAUGGCCUACCAAGGCGACGAUCCUUAGCUGGUCUGAGAGGAUGAUCAGCCACACUGGGACUGAGACACGGCCCAGACUCCUACGGGAGGCAGCAGUGGGGAAUAUUGGACAAUGGGCGAAAGCCUGAUCCAGCAAUGCCGCGUGAGUGAUGAAGGCCUUAGGGUUGUAAAGCUCUUUUACCCGGGAUGAUAAUGACAGUACCGGGAGAAUAAGCUCCGGCUAACUCCGU
rnacentral:rRNA from 1 species